rnacentral:tRNA from 1 species
CGGGACGUAGCGCUGCCUGGUAGCGCACUUGCUUCGGGAGCAAGGGGUCGCUGGUUCAAAUCCAGUCGUCCCGACCA